AAAUAACUAUUUAGUUUCAAAGUGACUUUUUAAAAAACCAAAGUAUAUGUAAAAACAUUCAAUUUUUGAAUGUCUAAAACUAUAGAGGUUCAUUGUGCGGUGUGUAUGAAUUUGUUACUUGUUUAAGUUGGGAUUAUUGUGUUGAUGGUGAGUUAGAUAUCACUUUGUAUGACAAUGAAGUGAGAUUGAGGGGGUGGGCAAAGUUGAUGUUUUUAUUUUUUAGGUCCGUAAUGCUUGUGCUCCAAAUUCAGCAACUGAAUUUAAUUCAGUAUGUCCAUAGAUAGCAUUCUAGGUUACUGUGUUUAUUAAACUAUCUAUUUUCUAAAUGAUAAUUUCAGUGUUAUGAUACCAGUCCAACAAUUUAUACAAUAUAUUAAGAUGAAGAACUUUAUAUUAGUGUCUCCUUUCCAUCUGCCUUGGAAUGAUGAAGGGAAAAUUUGAAAAGGGGUGGGAUGUAAUUGUUAGAGGGUGUUUAUUGUGAACUGAUUUUUGUUUGUAUCAUGUGACCUGCUCUCCGCUCUGUCCCUGUGGUGUGAUAUGUUGAAUGCUUCAUUUCAAACUUUGUUGUACAAGUAGAAUAAAUGAGACACUUCUUG
rnacentral:sRNA from 1 species